rnacentral:rRNA from 1 species
GACGAACGCUGGCGGCGUGCUUAACACAUGCAAGUCGAACGGAAAGGCCCUGCUUUCGUGGGGUGCUCGCGUGGCGAACGGGUGAGUAACACGUGAGUAACCUGCCCUUGACUUUGGGAUAACUUCAGGAAACUGGGGCUAAUACCGGAUAGGAGCUCCUGCUGCAGGGUGGGGGUUGGACAGCUUCGGCGGAUGGGGAUGGACUCGCGGCUUACCAGCUUGUUGGUGGGGUAGUGGCUUACCAAGGCUUUGACGGGUAGCCGGCCUGAGAGGGUGACCGGCCACAUUGGGACUGAGAUAGGGCCCAGACUCCAACGGGGGGCAGCAGUGGGGAAUAUUGCACAAUGGGCGGAAGCCUGAUGCAGCAGCGCCGCGUGCGGGAUGACGGCCUUCGGGUUGUAAACCGCUGUCGCCUGUGACGAAGCGUGAGUGACGGUAAUGGGUAAAGAAGCACCGGCUAACUACGUG